AGUGAACGCUGGCGGUAUGCCUAACACAUGCAAGUCGAACGGCAGCACAGUAAGAGCUUGCUCUUACGGGUGGCGAGUGGCGUACGGGUGAGGAAUACAUCGGAAUCUACUUUUUCGUGGGGGAUAACGUAGGGAAACUUACGCUAAUACCGCAUACGACCUACGGGUGAAAGCAGGGGAUCUUCUGACCUUGCGCGAUUGAAUGAGCCGAUGUCGGAUUAGCUAGUUGGCGGGGUAAAGGCCCACCAAGGCGACGAUCCGUAGCUGGUCUGAGAGGAUGAUCAGCCACACUGGAACUGAGACACGGUCCAGACUCCUACGGGAGGCAGCAGUGGGGAAUAUUGGACAAUGGGCGCAAGCCUGAUCCAGCCAUACCGCGUGGGUGAAGAAGGCCUUCGGGUUGUAAAGCCCUUUUGUUGGGAACGAAAAGCAGCAGGUUAAUACCCCGCUGUUCUGACGGUACCCAAAGAAUAAGCACCGGCUAACUUCGUG
rnacentral:rRNA from 1 species